rnacentral:rRNA from 1 species
GGCGUGCCUAAUACAUGCAAGUCGAGCGGGGGUCUUCGGACCCUAGCGGCGGACGGGUGAGUAACACGUAGGCAACCUGCCUGUAAGACCGGGAUAACAUAGGGAAACUUAUGCUAAUACCGGAUAGAGUUUUGCUUCGCAUGAAGCGAAACGGAAAGAUGGCGCAAGCUAUCACUUGCAGAUGGGCCUGCGGCGCAUUAGCUAGUUGGUGAGGUA